rnacentral:rRNA from 1 species
CAGUCGCCGCGGGAAUACGAAGGGUGCAAGCGUUACUCAGAAUUACUGGGCGUAAAGCGUGCGUAGGUGGUUGUUUAAGUCUGCUGUGAAAGCCCUGGGCUCAACCUGGGAAUUGCAGUGGAUACUGGGCGACUAGAGUAAGGUAGAGGAUAGUGGAAUUUCCGGUGUAGCAGUGAAAUGCGUAGAGAUCGGAAGGAACAUCUGUGGCGAAGGCGACUAUCUGGGCCUGCACUGACGCUCAUGCACGAAAGCGUGGGGAGCAAACAGGAUUAGAUACCCGGGUAGUCCCUGUCUCUUAUAC